UACAGAGGUCCCAAGCGUUGUUCGGAUUCACUGGGCGUAAAGGGUGCGUAGGCGGUCUGACAAGUCUGGUGUGAAAUCUAUGGGCUCAACCCAUAGUCUGCAUCGGAAACUGUCGGGCUUGAGUAUGGGAGAGGUGAGUGGAAUUUCCGGUGUAGCGGUGAAAUGCGUAGAUAUCGGAAGGAACACCUGUGGCGAAAGCGGCUCACUGGACCAUUACUGACGCUGAGGCACGAAAGCUAGGGGAGCAAACAGG
rnacentral:rRNA from 1 species